UCAAACACAAGCGUGAUGAAAAACUGAAAAUGGACGACCGAUAGUUUUUCUUUUGGCACGUGAACUAAAUAAUUACUUUUCGUUUAUUUAGAACGAACGGUUCACCGUCAAACUGGGGACCAAAACGGUGGAAAGGUUCCUACACCUAGCGGACGACAAUUUCGUCGAAGAUGUCAACGAAGACUUGAAAUGUUUUCUAGCCGAAAAAAAAGUUGACAGUGUGCUGGUGUUUCCGCCGGUGAGCAACUACCGUCGCUUCCUGAUCCACCGCUGCGUGGAGCAGUUGUCACGGUCGGACCUCACCACCUUCUCCAUCGGCGUCAGCGACGAGCGGCGCACUGUUGUUUGCUACCGGGAGAAAUUAUUAAGUGAUGAGGCUUGCGCGCGGCCAGCCAUGGGCCUGACGCGCGCCGCGCCCGACGCGCGCCCCGCGCACCCCGCGCACCCC